GACAGAGGGUGCAAGCGUUGUUCGGAAUCAUUGGGCGUAAAGCGCACGUAGGCGGUUGCGUAAGUCGGAUGUGAAAGCCCAGGGCUCAACCCUGGAAGUGCAUCCGAAACUGCGUAACUUGAGUCCCGGAGAGGGUGGUGGAAUUCCUGGUGUAGAGGUGAAAUUCGUAGAUAUCAGGAGGAACACCGGUGGCGAAGGCGACCACCUGGACGGAGACUGACGCUGAGGUGCGAAAGCGUGGGGAGCAAACAGG
rnacentral:misc_RNA from 1 species